rnacentral:lncRNA from 1 species
CUGACACUCUCAAAGAACAAGACAGACCGGGGAAGAUUUUAGAUGCGUACCCCUGCUUCCGAGAACUUGACCACAUCAUGGACGAGCUACGGAGGAUAAUAAACCCUGUGACAAUCCAGACUACAUUGCCAACAUUAAGGACAGAUGGGAAACUUUUUAUGGGAAAGUGCAGUUUUAUGGCGUAAUGAGAAAAGUCAUGAAGCCUCCAAAGACCUUGGAUGGAGUGGAACAUGCUACUGCAGUGUUCUCUGCUCUUCCACAACUUUUUCAAUCACCUGCCAUGGCGCCCAAAAAGACACGCACCCCAAGCGAAGUCUUUUUUCACAUUUUAAUGUCCUGUGAGAGCCCAGACUCUUUUCUCCUAACUCGAUCCCACCCAAUCGUCCUGUUGGGGCAAGAAAACUGCCUCCUCUCAAUUGGGCCCACCACACUGUGCUCCUUUCCAAAGAUAAAAUUCCACGAGGCCAUCCUCUACCUGAUGGGCUGCUAUUACGUGUUUCAUUUAACAUAUCCGAAAUGCAUUGCCACACUGCUAUCUGUCAUUCAGACAGAAGUUCUCGGGGAUGGGCUGCAUGAGAGGGACAUCACCCCAUCCUACAAGAGAGCAAUCGCCGACUGGAAGGCAUUCAUAGACUGAGGGCGGGGAUUCGUUGAACACACACAGACAAACAACCACACACACACACACACACACA